GCUGGAGGUCUAUCGGAAACAGCCUUUCUACUUCUUUAGAGGUAGAGGUAUGGACUGCGUACAUCUUACCCUCCCCAGACCUCACUAUGUGGGAAUACACUGGGUUUGUUGUUGUUGUUGUUAUCAAUGGGAUCAUUCCUCAGUCUACACAAUUCCCAAGCAGAAUUAACAAAACUUUUCAGUGCUACUAGGCAUCCACGAAGCUUUAUCUCUACCCUCAGAAAUUUUACUGUCACCCAAAAGCUUAUGAAUAUGAUCACAAAUCUCCUCAUUGAAAUAACUAGCAAGUAAUUAAUUGAUUGAUUUCACUUUAUUAAGAUCAUGAGAAACGGGUAAGUAGUAAUGGAGAGAUCCUUUCUGUUUCCAGUUAUCAUAUCAAACAUCGGCAUAUCCUUCUUUGAUAUCCCACCAAAUUUCUUGAUCAAAGAAAUUUCUAGCCUGCAACAUAGCCUUCAAAACCUGUGAUCCUCCAUUCCAUUCAACUGUUUGAGAAAUAUGCCUCUUACAAUAUUUAUUCCACAUAAAAUUUAACCACAUAGUGUUGGUAGUUCUGAAGGUCCACCAAAGUUUGACAUAGAGAGCCUUUGAAAUAUCAAAUAAAGGCCUAAAUCCUAAACCUUCCCUCUUGUUUAGGAACACAAAUUUUGUCUCAUGCAAUCCAAUAAGUAGAUUUUCCUUCCUCUUUGAAAUUUCAUAAAAAUUUUGCAAAAAUUCUAUGAAUAUCAUAAAUUACACAUUUAGGAGGAUUAAUACCAGAUAAAAGAAAAAUGAAAAUGCUUUGUAGGACAUGAUUAACCAGGAUAGCUUUUCCUUCAAAUGACAAAAUCUUUUCUUUCCAGAGUUGCAACUUAUUUUGAUUUUUUUAAUCAACUUUGAGAAGUGAACUUUCUUCUACUUAACAUGGCCAAUAGGACAACCCAUGUAUUUCAAAGGAAAUUUUCCUUUUGAAAAACAUGGAACAUCCUCAACUAAUUGAACAGAAUUAUGAACAACUUUGUUAAACAUAUCAAAGGAACUCUUAUCUUUAUUAAUAAGCUGAUCUGAUUGUUGUUCAUACAUGCUCAGAGUCCUCAUAAUCAACUGUAAGGAUGUUCUGUUAGCUGUAGCAAAAAUGAUAGUGGCUAAAUGAUUCAGAUUAUCACUCCAUUUAGGCAACUCAUAACUCUUAAAUUCUUGAUUUCUAAAAAUACUAUUCAGUGCUAGAAAUAGCACUUCAGCAACCAAAAUAAACAAAAAAGGAGACAGAGGAACCUCUUGUUUCACCCCUCUAGAAGAAUGAAAAAAAUCAUGUGCCUGACCAUUUAUCAAUACAGAUUACCAAUUAUUAGCAAUAAGCCUCCAUAUCAUAUCAGUCAUCUUAGAGUCAACAUUCAUUUUUUUCAAUACUUUAAUCAAAUAGUGUCAGUCACUCUAUCAUAAGCUUUAGCCAUAUCCAGCUUAAUAAUAACAUUAUUAGGUUUGUGCCUCAACCUUAUGUCAGUGAUUAUUUCUUGAGCCAACAGAACAUUCUCAGUGAUAAUUCUAUACUUCACAAAUCCUGGUUGAUUUUGAGAAAUCAGUCUUGGAAGAAGACCUUCCAGCCUAUCAUGAAUAAGCAUAGAAAUAACUUUAUUGAGAAAGUUAUUCAAACUAAUUGGUCUACGAUAUGAAAAGGAUUAAAUCACAUCCCUUUUAGGUAUUAGGUUAGUAUGAGUAAUAGAUUUUGAUAGUGUAGACCCAUGAAAUAAAGCAUGUACUACUUUAAUGAUGUACUGAGCAACAAUAUUCUAGCAAGUCUGAUAAAAAAUUCAGAGAAACCAUCAAGUCCACAAGAACUUUCAGCACUAAGUUCAAAAUUCACACUGUUUAUUUUUGUCUCAUCAGGAAUUGCAUUUAGUAAAGCAUUGUCUUCGGCAGAGCUACCUGUAAAUUAUUUUUGAAAAAAACAGACUCCUUCAGCAAUAAUUUCUUUCAGUGAUUCUUUCCAGGAUUCAUCUUUCUUCUAAAUUCUACUAAAAGAAAGCUUCUUUCGUCUAACCUUAACCAGACAGUGAAGAGAUUGAGUGUUUCUAUCCCCUUCUUCAAACCAUUGAACACUAGCUUUUUGCCUUCAGAAUUCCUCCUCAUAAUGAAAAUACAGUUUUAAUUCAGCCUGAGUUUUCUGUAAAAUAGAUCUAUUAAGAGGAGAAGGGUCUCCUUGAAAUAAUUCCUCUUUAAUUUUAACAAUUUCUUCUCUAAUGACCAAUUGCUUAAAAAUAUCACCAAAUUUAUCUUUACUCCAUUUGGAAAUAGCCAUUUUUGUCUUCUUCAGCCUCUAUUUUAACUUAAUAAAAACAUCAUCAUUAUUAUCUGCAACCCAACUCUGUAGAACAACAUUCAAAAAAUCUUCUUUCUCUGUCCAGAAUUUUAAAAACUUGAAAGGUUUAGAAAUAACAAUAUCACUAACACCACAAGGAAGUAAAAGGAGGGAAUGGUCUCAUUCAGUCCUGACCAAAUGUUGCACAUUCACAUUUCCAAAGAUAUCCAUUAGACUCUAAUUAACAAAAAUUCUGUCUAAUCUUUUAAAAAUGCAAUUCUUUCGACUCUCCCAUUCCAUCAGGAAAAUGAAUAGCCUAAAAAAUUAAUAUCAUACAGCUCACAAUAAUUAAUUUAGAGAGCAAAAUCUUCAUUCUCUUGGGAGUAUACAGGUAGACCACCAAUCUUUUCCUCACCCCCUAAAAUUACAUUGAGAUCCCCUCCAACCAGUCAAGGCAAAGAAAAAUUAUGAUUUAGGUAAUAAAGAUCAUCCCACAAACUUAAUCUUUCAAUUGUUGAACAUUUACCCUAAAACAAUGGUAGCUAGCAGAUUAAUUGCAGUGUCCAGUGUAAGAUGCAAAUACAGUUGCUGUCCAGAAACAGAAACAUUCUCCACUUGAAUGUCAUGAUUAACAAAGAACCAGAUUUGUCAAUUUCAUUUUGAAAAAUAUAUUGCAUGUCUAACCUUCUUCUGUAUUUUUGAAUAUUUCUAGUAUCUGGAAAAGGUUCAAUCAAGGAAAUCAUUGAAAAUUUAUGAUGUUUGUGCAACAUUUGAACUCUAUGAAAGGCCUUUUGAGUGUUAACGGACCGUGUAUUUCAAAACAAAGCUUUACAAUUCAUUUAUGAUUGGAUUUGACUAUCCUUUUAGCCUGAGUUCUUGUGGUCAGUGUACUACCACCCUCUCCUUUCAUCUUAGAUUUUUUGCCUUUAUUACUCAGUUUUGGAGAUAAAUCUGCUUCAAUAACAGUCUUUUGUAUUUAGAUUAGAUUUUCUCCUUCAUCUUUUUCUUUAAUUUCUAUUGUGUCUUUAUGUACCUGUUCCUAAAUAGCUAUCUCUGUUCCUCCAGGGUCUUUUUGAAAGUCUUAAUGUGAUACCAAAGCAUGCAAAAUCUCCAUAAGAACUGAUUUAUCAGCCAUCUCGGGUACUUCCAUGUCAUUCGCAGCUUCGUUGACCUCCUCGCUCUUGUCACGAGAAUGAUGCACAUUCACAAUUUUGCCUCCAAUCAAUUCCUCUAAGAUAGUAACCUCAUGUUUGUAUUCAUGUUCCUCAUUUGUUUUCUGUAUAAACACGUGUGACCCAGUCUUUAGUAUACAUCUUCUUCUGUGAAUUAUCAUCUGUUUGGCAUGUUUUAAUUUUGUUUGACAGAUGUCCAUUAAGUACCACAACCAUUAUUAUUGCGUCUGUAUUUUUGGGCAUGCUUGUGCUAAGCUCAGAAUUUAUGUGAUCCUCCUCAUCAAUUUUCUUC